rnacentral:rRNA from 1 species
UACGAAGGGGGCUAGCGUUGCUCGGAUUUACUGGGCGUAAAGGGCGCGUAGGCGGACAGUUUUAGUCAGAGGUGAAAGCCCAGGGCCUCAACCUUGGAAUUGCCUUUGAUAACUGGCUGUCUUGAGUACGGGAGAGGUGAGUGGAACUCCGAGUGUAGAGGUGAAAUUCGUAGAUAUUCGGAAGAACACCAGUGGCGAAGGCGAACUC